rnacentral:rRNA from 1 species
UACAGAGACUGCAAGCGUUAUUCGGAAUCACUGGGCUUAAAGGGCGCGUAGGCGGCUUCAUAAGUCAGGGGUGAAAUCCGGCAGCUUAACUGUCGCAGUGCCUUUGAUACUGUGGAGCUCGAGGGAGGUAGGGGUCUGUGGAACUUCCGGUGGAGCGGUGAAAUGCGUUGAUAUCGGAAGGAACGCCGGUGGCGAAAGCGACGGACUGGAUCUCUUCUGACGCUGAGGCGCGAAAGCCAGGGGAGCAAACGGG